CCUACGGGGGGCAGCAGUGAGGAAUAUUGGUCAAUGGCCGGAAGGCUGAACCAGCCAAGCCGCGUGAAGGACGAAGGUGCCAAGCAUUGUAAACUUCUUUUGUCAAGGGACAAAAUCAGGCUCGAGAGCCUGACCGAGGGUACUUGAAGAAAAAGCAUCGGCUAACUCCGUGCCAGCAGCCGCAGUAAUACGGAGGACGCGAGCGUUAUCCGGAUUUAUUGGGUUUAAAGGGCGUGUAGGCGGGACUGCAAGUCAGAUGUGAAAACCACGGGCUCAACCUGUGGCCUGCAUUUGAAACUGUAGGU
rnacentral:rRNA from 1 species